UCCUGCUUCCUCUUAACCAAACCCUGCCCACUUUCACAACAGGGUUAACUAAUUUCUAGUUUGCCGUUACUUUUUAGCAUUCUUAAUUGCUUUACUCUUACAAAUAUUUGCAAUCUUUUGCAGCUCUAUCAUCUCCUUAUUUGGUUCUUAACAACCUUCCGCUCCAUAUUUGAGAAAGAGAGGGAAGACUAUACAGGAUAAUAAUUAAGCUAAAAUCAGGGGGAAAAACAGGUGAAAUGAUAAAUAUUAUUUUCGUUAUAUGUAAUGUAAUCAAUAUUGCAAUAUAAUAUGUUGUUAUCUGAACAUAUGAUCUAUUCUAUCAUCCACAUUACAACAUUAACUUCCAAAUGUAAUGAUUUGACUGAAACUGAACCCCACUUCACCUCCAAAUCAACUAAGAUAAACAUAGCAAGUAAACUACAAAACUAUCACCUGAAGAAUAAAUAGAAAGCUAAAGAAAUGAUAAAACAAGGAAGAGGAACAACAUCACGUUAGAGGAAAACCCCUCUAGUAGAAUAAACAUUGUAAAUAACUCAAAAAGCCAUAAAAUGCCUAUGGUGCAGCAACAACGGGAAUUGAAUUUUCUAUUGGCUUCUUUACAUAAUUACUCUUUGGAUUGUAGCCGUGGAGAGAGAGAUUCUUUGUUAGAUUGAUAAGUCAUGGGAUUAGUCGCUUUCUUGAUCCUCAAAUCAUCAUCGCAUUUCCUAUCUCCGGCUUUUGUAUGCUUCUGCACAAUAAAAAUAGAGUUGCACUUCCAUAGCAGUCCGCAAACUUAAAAUUGGAGCACUGAUACAAUUCACAGCAGUCAUUCAAUUUUAGUUAAGUAUCUAGGCAAGACUUAAGGCUGAGUUGUUGUUGUUGUUGUAUCUAGGCAAGAUCCCAGAAAAUCUCUUUUUAGUGUGUAGAGAUUUCUCUCGAUUUUCAUAGAAAUUGAAGUCAUCUAACAAUGAGGUCUUAGCUGAAUAACUCUUAAAUAUAUUCAGCAUUUCCAAACCUUGCUAAAGUCCAAUCUGCAAAUUAUUAUAACAAAUCGUGUCAAUCCAACCUUUAAUAUAUUCAACAAGAACAGAGGCCACCAUGCACAAGUUUCUAUUCUAGCAGCAUCUUUUGCCAGAUAUAUUGAAAUAUCAAGCCUAAAUUGUAUAGUACAACCACUGAAAAUAACAGAAAAAUGGCAACAUACUCUGCUAAGUUGAGUUUUUAAUGCAGGGGAACCAUAUGCACAGCAUACUGCAGAAGACUUCCACAAAUAGAA
rnacentral:misc_RNA from 1 species